rnacentral:rRNA from 1 species
CCUACGGGUGGCAGCAGUGGGGAAUAUUGGGCAAUGGGCGCAAGCCUGACCCAGCAACGCCGCGUGAAGGAAGAAGGCUUUCGGGUUGUAAACUUCUUUUCUGGGGGACGAACAAAUGACGGUACCCCAGGAAUAAGCCACGGCUAACUACGUGCCAGCAGCCGCGGUAAUACGUAGGUGGCAAGCGUUAUCCGGAUUUAUUGGGUGUAAAGGGCGUGUAGGCGGGAAUGCAAGUCAGAUGUGAAAACUACGGGCUCAACCCAUAGCCUGCAGUUGAAACUGUAUUUCUUGAGUGCUGGAGAGGCAAGCGGAAUGCCGGGUGUAGCGGUGAAAUGCGUAGAUAUAAGGAGGAACACCAGUGGCGAAGGCGGAUUGCCGGACAGUAACUGACGCUGAGGCGCGAAAGCGUGGGGAGCAAACAGGAUUAGAUACCCCUGUAGUC